AUGCGAUGAGUCGAUAGGUGGCGCAAGCCACAUAUUGAGCAUGGGAGGUCAUAUACGCAGGAGCGGACCUUGAUGAGUUGUGUGAACCUGCUCAUCACACGAAAGUGCCUUUAGUCCCCACGUUUAGUGGGGAUUUUUU
rnacentral:sRNA from 1 species